rnacentral:rRNA from 1 species
UACGUAGGGGGGCUAGCGUUGUCCGGAAUCAUUGGGCGUAAAGAGCAUGUAGGCGGCCCGGUAAGUCCGCUGUAAAAGUCAAAGGCUCAACCUUUGAAUGUCAGUGGAUACUGCCGGGCUAGAGUCCGGAAGAGGCGAGUGGAACUCCUGGUGUAGCGGUGGAAUGCGCAGAUAUCAGGAAGAACACCUAUGGCGAAGGCAGCUCUCUGGGACGGUACUGACGCUGAGACGCGAAAGCGUGGGGAGCGAACAGG